CGAACGACUUUACUCCGAACUUCUUUUGGGCUUCAUCGACGUCCGAGCUUCUCCAACAACAGGACUUCUUCAAUAACCAGACUCCAUCCAAGUUUCUACAGCGGUCAACUGCCUUUCGGAUUUCAUGCAAGCUAAUUUCAUCCGAGCUCCAACGAGAGCCGAAUCCCAGCCGAACUUCUACAGUGAAUGGAUCACAGACAAACUUCUACAACGGGAUAGGCUCCACCAGCCGGGUAUC
rnacentral:lncRNA from 1 species